rnacentral:rRNA from 1 species
GAUCCAUAGCCGACCUGAGAGGGUGACCGGCCACAUUGGGACUGAGACACGGCCCAAACUCCUACGGGAGGCAGCAGUGGGGAAUAUUGCACAAUGGGCGAAAGCCUGAUGCAGCGACGCCGCGUGAGCGAAGAAGUAUUUCGGUAUGUAAAGCUCUAUCAGCAGGGAAGAUAAUGACGGUACCUGACUAAGAAGCACCGGCUAAAUACGUGCCAGCAGCCGCGGUAAUACGUAUGGUGCAAGCGUUAUCCGGAUUUACUGGGUGUAAAGGGAGCGCAGGCGGUGCGGCAAGUCUGAUGUGAAAGCCCGGGGCUCAACCCCGGUACUGCAUUGGAAACUGUCGUACUAGAGUGUCGGAGGGGUAAGCGGAAUUCCUAGUGUAGCGGUGAAAUGCGUAGAUAUUAGGAGGAACACCAGUGGCGAAGGCGGCUUACUGGACGAUAACUGACGCUGAGGCUCGAAAGCGUGGGGAACAAACAGGAUUAGAUACCCUGGUAGUCCACGCCGU